UUCUUAUGGGAUGAUGACUGUUAUUUUCAUGUUCUGAUUGGAUGUCAAUUCCAUAAAAUAUGAAAUAAAUUGUUGUUUUCAUUGAUCGAUAAGAACAUCACACGUGACCUUCAACAUUA
rfam:Glycine max cultivar Williams 82 chromosome 3, whole genome shotgun sequence.